UACGUAGGCAGCAAGCGUUGUUCGGAAUUACUGGGCGUAAAGAGUGUGUAGGCGGUGUUCUAAGUCUGUUGUGAAAUCUCCCGGCUCAACUGGGAGGGUGCGCCGAAUACUGAAUGACUAGAGUGCGGGAGAGGAAACUGGAAUUCCUGGUGUAGCGGUGAAAUGCGCAGAUAUCAGGAGGAACACCGGUGGCGAAGGCGGGUCUCUGGGCCGAUAUCGACGCUGAGGAGCGAAAGCGUGGGGAGCGAACAGG
rnacentral:rRNA from 1 species